rnacentral:rRNA from 1 species
UACGGAGGGGGCUAGCGUUGUUCGGAAUUACUGGGCGUAAAGGGUUUGUAGGUGGCCUGCUAAGUCAGACGUGAAAUCCCUCAGCUUAACUGGGGAACUGCGUCCGAUACUGGAUGGCUUGGAUUUGGGAGAGGGAUGCGGAAUUCCAGGUGUAGCGGUGAAAUGCGUAGAUAUCUGGAGGAACACCGGUGGCGAAGGCGGCAUCCUGGACCAAUAUUGACGCUGAGGAGCGAAAGCCAGGGGAGCAAACGGG